UCAAGAAACUUCCACAAUGGGCGAAAGCCUGAUGGAGCGACGUCGCGUGAUGGACGAAGUGCUUCGGCACGUAAACAUCUUUUAUGUGGGAUGAAAUUAUUGACAGUACCACAUGAAUAAGGGGCUCCUAACUCUGUGCCAGCAGGAGCGGUAAUACAGAGGCCCCAAGCGUUAUCCGGAAUCACUGGGCGUAAAGGGUGUCGAAGCGGUUGUAUUAGUCGUUCGUAAAAUCUACGAGCUUAACUUGUAGGCGGCGAACGAAACGGUACGACUUGAGGUUUGGAGAGGUGCGUGGAACUCACGGUGUAGGGGUGAAAUCCGUUGAUAUCGUGGGGAACACCAAAGGCGAAGGCAGCGCACUGGCCAAAAUCUGACGCUCACACACGAAAGCUAGGGUAGCGAAGAGAAUUAGAUACCCACGUAGUCCCUGAGCGGGCUGGCAAGGCGCAU
rnacentral:rRNA from 1 species